rfam:Spinacia oleracea cultivar SynViroflay C24776012.1, whole genome shotgun sequence.
AGCCUAUUAGCUCAAAUGGUAGAGCAAUGUGCCACACGCAUAUAUGUAGGUUCGAGUCCUACAUAGGCUG